UUUUGGAAGUGAUGAUUACAUUGACUUCCCAGGAGAAGCUCAAUCAAAUCUGUGGUUAUAUGGUUUUCUUCCAAAGUGGACGAUAUGGCAGUGCUGAUGUUCUCAUAUACUGAUUUUACCCCAUAGUCAGCCCUGGAUGGAGACACCGUGGCACUAACUAGAGCAUCUGAACACUUGAUGUGAUCUGCAAACCAGCAAACAAGAGAGAAUAUAAUUUUAUAUGUGUCUUCCUCUGGCUUGAAUUUUCUCCUGGGCCCCAGAUCUGCAAGCACAUAUGUACUCAAGUGCACCGAAAUGAAUUGGCCACCCUGACUUCCAGCCACAGUGGAGAGAGACUUCAGAGCAUAUUGGUAUCCUAUUCUAAGUCCUUUACAUUCUGCAGGAGCACAUACCAAACCCUGCUGCCUUCCAUCAACACCCACGUAUAGAAUCCCAGUGGACACAAACACUGCGAUAUCCCAGACAAGCAGAGUGCUCAUCUGCUCCAUGUACCCAGCCCUUGUAUUCUUAACAGAAAACCUGUGGGGCAACCUAAUUUGGCACCUGUAGAAAACCAUGUCCAGCUCAAAUUUGGCUUCAGUAGGAGUAACAAGUCCAGAACUGCUGUAGUGAACACCUGAGUUCCAGCAGAGACUGAUUCUGAUCACUGAUGCUUUGCUUAAUAUUGGCUUUGUGAGUUGUUCAGUUUCUUCAUGGCAAUAUGUACUGCAAAUCCCAAUUUCCUCUGAAA